rnacentral:rRNA from 1 species
UACGGAGGGUGCAAGCGUUAUCCGGAUUUACUGGGUUUAAAGGGUGCGUAGGUGGGUCUGUAAGUCAGUGGUGAAAUCUCCGGGCUUAACCCGGAAACUGCCAUUGAUACUAUAGGUCUUGAGUACUCUGGAGGUAAGCGGAAUAUGUCAUGUAGCGGUGAAAUGCUUAGAUAUGACAUAGAACACCAAUUGCGAAGGCAGCUUACUACGGGGUCAUUGACACUGAGGCACGAAAGCGUGGGGAUCAAACAGG